CGGCCGCCGAGGCCCCGGCGACGUGCCCUCCCCCUCCCCCCACUCCGAGCUCGGGUCCUAUCACCUCGCUGGUGUUCGGGGCCUGUUUUAGGAUCCCCCUCAAACAGCUCCCACUGCAGGACCUCACACCCAGUGUGCCCACCCCGGCGCCCACGCACCCCGCCGCGGCCGAGUGCGGGAUUGGCGAGCCCCCUUGUGACCCGCUCUUUGCGUCAAGAGCGCCCAGGGCAUAUCUUUAGGCACCCCGAGAUAGGAGCUGCUGUGUCCAGCUUGCCGACGAGAAAGCAGACUGGGGAACAGCAAUCUGCCCGAGAGACAAAACCAGUGACGGGGCGGGAGUGGACCCGAAGAAAUCCGAGAGGAGGGGAGCCCGCGGAGCUGUUCAGGGGGGGUCGCUGUGUGUGGGGAAACCACGGCCUGCUCCCCUGGGACGCAGAAGCCAGGAGACAGAGGUUCGGCCUGGCGCCCUUCUCCGCUGGGGCUGCGGGCCAGGCCACUCCCAAUCCCACCCCGGGCAAGCGGGAUGAUCUCCAUCCGCAGACCCACCGGGCCUGCCCCAGGACUGACAGCUUGGGGGUGGCAGGCACCCAGCCGUGCCCUUCUUUCUCCCAGAAUCCUCAAGGCCUAGCUCCUGGGGGGUGACCUGGAGGCCCUGAGGAUCAAAGCCAUGCCCUCUGACCUCUCUGCUGACCCGCGGCUUAUCAAUCAUUAGCCAGGACUGCCUUCCUGGUAGCUUUGUUGCCCCUGGGGCCAGGCCCAGACAAUGGCCCUGGCCACCCGCAGAGUCCCAGACUCUACAUCUGUGGCUUAGUUGAAUUCCUUUUAACUCUCUGGUGACCUCACCCUCCGACUUGGUCAGAAGGUCACUAGAUCACCCUUGGAAUCCCAGAUUCUUUAUCUCUGGCUUAGCUGAGUUUUUAACUCUCAGGUGACCACCCUCAUCCUGAGUUAAAAGGUCACUUGUCCCAGCCAGUGCUGCCCAGGGGGUGCAAGCAGAGGCCGAAGGGUGGGCGGGGGCUCUGCCAACGACCUCCACCUCCAUUCCAGGCACGUCCUGGGGGACAUCUCAUGGGGGAGAUGGCGUUGGGGAGGUGCAGGGCUCAGCCACCCCGCCCCCAGGGAUCACAGGAGGCUUCUCGGAGGAGAUGGUCCUCGGGCAGGAGCUGGUCAGGCGGGCAUUCAGGUGACUGCUGACUGGGGUGAAAGUCCAGAGGGGGUCUCGGAUCGAGGGUCACACAAGACUCUCCCGUUGGAAAUGGAAGGGGCCCCAGAGAUCCCCUGUAUUUUACAGACGAGGAAACUGAGGCCAGGAGAGAAGGCGUAGUUGACCUCUCCUGAGCCUGAGACCCCAGGUGUCCUGUGAGAACGGUCCCCCCCACAGCCUCGCCCCGCAGCCUUUUGUUCCUUUUGGGGAGGUCCCUCUUUUGAGUCUAAAAGGUUUGGUAUGGUUUGGGAGAGUUAGAACACUGUUUGGUUUCUUUCUGCGGCUGAAAGCUCAGAAACUGUACGGUUCCCUGAAGCCCCAUAAGGCCGCGGGUGGCACUGUCCCCAACCUCUGCAGUCAAAUGCUCUAUCCCUGAGCUACACCCCCUUACCGAACCACCCUCUGGAGAGCAAUAUUAGAGUAAUCGGGAGAAGGCCAUCACGCAGUGAGGACUUCAGCUAAUCUGCUGAAACGCUUGGUGAUUCUGCCACCAAAAUGCCAUGCCAAGGGUCACAGCCCAGAGGAGCCACGGGGCGGGGAGGUGGGAGGGAGCGGAGAGCAGGGGGCUGUGUUUUCUCCAAGACAUUCUUGGCCUCGGGCUCAGACUGAUUACAGAGAACAAAGGGAGAGAGGACUUGGCUUGCGAACAUGUGGCCUUUGCCUUCCCCGCUGCUCCUGGAAGUUUCCCAGUCGGUGGCGUUGGCCAGAUGGGCCGUGGGGGCGGCUGGAGCAUGAAGACGAGACUUGGGGUGUCUCUAAGGGCAGUGCCAGGGCCUCUUCCGUGAGCCCCACAGCUCCAGGUCGUGCCCCCCGCCGGGCACUACCCGAGGCCCUCCCCAGCUCAGGGCUGCUUUGCUGUCCCAGCAUGACUGUAGUGUGUGUGUGUGUGCGUGUGUGUUGGGGGGUGGGGGGCGGAGAGCAUGUCUCACUCAUCGGGUCCUAAGUGCCAUGAGCCUUUGUGGGGCCGCAAACAACUGCCUGUCACCCCUCAGGAAAAGCCCAUGGGCGCCAUGAUGGUUUUCUCAUUUCUAACCCGUAGAUAACAAAACUCACUUCCGAGGUUUCCUUGAGGCCUGAGGGAGAGAAUAUAGGACGGUGGCUGAAUUAUUAUUAUCUGUUACUUGCAUUGUGCCCUGUCCUGGGCGAGGACAGUAUCCUCUUCCCCAAGAUUGCUCUGAAGGUCCUGGUAAUACUGACUUUCCCCAGGGCAGGAGCUGGGAAAGAGCUGGCGAGUGCCCAAGCCAUAUUGGUAAAGGUCAUGCAAAGUGGCCUCAGUUGGCCUCCUCAGGCAUUCCAUCACCAAAUACUCACUGAGGGCCAGCUCUGUGCCAGACACCAUGCUGAGUCUCGGGGAUACUACAGGGGAGAGACCUGGCCCUCCCCCUGGACAUCCAGAGAAAAUGAACAAGCACAAGCCGACUCCAACUUCCAGAGUCAGGGAGGCCUUCCUGGAGUAAGCAGCAUGCAAACUGGAGUGUGAAGGAGCAGGGGUUGGCUAGGUUUGUGGGUAGGGCUGGGAGGAGGGUGGGGAGGGUAUUCCCAGCAGAGGGAAUGGCACGGGCAAAGGCCCAGAUAGUGAGGGAGAACAUGGGACUCCCAGGAGCUUCCAGGAGUUCUGUGCCCUCCUGAGGACAGCUGUGCCUAGGAACUGCUCCAGCAGCGCCCCCCCCUCCCCGCUCCACCACAUUGAAGGCGGGGCUCUGUGAGCAAAGGGUGUAGUGAGCGGGGCGGCUUUGCAGGUAAAGUUUUAUGGAAACAGUUCCAAGAGGGUGCACAAUUAUUUUGCCGGUGUAUUUUAUAUGAAAAAAAUGUUUCUUUUGCAAAACAGCAACGUGUCACAAUUUCAUUAAUGAAUGCUUGUGCAGGCUCUGUGUGGUUCCUUGUGAAGGUCUCAGAUGUGGCUAUGUAACAGAACAGAGGUGGGGACACCCAUUAUGUUGACUUUCCUGGGAUCAGGGACCCUUCAGCCUAGAGGGGAGCGCAGAGAUGAGGUGUGGCAUGGAGGUUAAGUCACAUGUCCCAAGUCGUCCAGCCCUCAGCAGGCACGGUGGGGCCAGGGGCUGCCUGGAGGGCCGGGAGGGCCGCUUGCUGGAGCGUUGAGCCCACAGUCUGGCCCGGCCCUGCGUCUCCCUCAGGUGUGGCCUGAGUCAGGCCCCCCCCGCCCCGCCUUUGCUGCCAUCUGGGGUGGGGCACUGGAGCCCCCGCAAGGGAUCAUCAGCUGGCAGUGCUCCUCUGGCUGCAGGGGGAGGCAGUGCAUGUGGGGAUGGCUGGCUCUGUGCUCAGGACUCUGGGAGAGGUCUGGAACUUUCCACGGGGGAGGGAGAGUCGCCACUUUCCUGGCACCUCUGAAGGAAAGGGCAGGCCCUGCGUCUGAAGAGGACGCCCUGGAAGUUUAGGUUGUGUUCCUGCUUAAUUCAUUGGGACGCUGCCCCCAGUCUGGCCAAAUGACCCUGCCAGAGGGCUGUGCCGAUAUGGCCAGUGCCAAGAGUCAGGAGACAAGAUUCCCGCCCGGCUUUGUCCCUGACUUCCUGGGGGACCCAAUGGGCGAGGGCAGUGGUCAUUCUUUCCUGACUGCCAGGGCCCCAGAGCCUUCUGUCCCCUAAGCAAAGGGCUUAUGACAUGUGCUGCCGCCUGCACUGCCGGCCCCAGGCCACUCAGAGCGGACACUGGACACUGCACAGACGGGGCCUGGGCCCUCGAGGGUCCUGCUUCUCCUGAUGGGUGGCAGAGAACCAGCCUUGGCGACCUAUGGGUCCUGAGUUUUAUGAUGGGCACCUGAGGACAACUUGGGGAGGAAUGGUCUAUCUACCUGGAUACGGCAACUGAAGAUUAGCUGGUCCACCUUCUUGACACAGAUGGGGAAACUGAGGCCCAGAAGGGGGAAGUCGCCUGUCCGCGGUCACUGUGUUACUAAGUGGUGUCAUUUGUAGGCUGUUUUCAGUUCUAUUCAGCAGACAUUUCCUGAGUGUCUCCCGGGAGCCUGGCUUGGCCCCUGGUGGAUAUCAUCAUGUGUCAGUUUCUCCAUCCAUUUAUUCGACAAGCACUCAGCGAGGAGGCAGUGCCCAGGCACGGGGCAGACAGGGUCCCUGCCUCACGGAGCUUUCGUACUGUGUGUUUCCUGUGGCUCUGGACAAAAUGACUGCAAAUCAAGUGCCUUGAAACAACAGAUCCGGUCUCUCGCAGAAGGCAGGGAGCAGGCAGGGCCAUGCUCCCCCUGACCCUCCAGGCCAAGGUCCUCCCUGGCUCUCCCAGCUUCUGGGGGCUCCAGGGCUGCCGGCCACGUCACUCUAGCCUCUGCCCAUCUUCACUGGCCUUUACCCUCUGCUCUCUCUCCUGCGUGUCUUUUAUAAAGACGCUUGUCAUGGGAUGUAGGGCUCACCUGGAUAAUCCAUAAUGAUCUCAUCUUGAGAUACUUAAUUACAUCUCCAAAGACCCUUAUUCCAGGAAAGGUCCCAUUCACAAUUUCGAGGGGUCAGGACGUGGAGGGCGGGGCCUUAGAAAUGAGCCUGUGGGCUGUGAGUUUCAUCCCAAAUGCUCUGGGAAGCUGCUGGUGGCUCUUAAGCAGGAGAGUGACGUUACGUGACUUAUAUUUCUAGAAGUCACUCUGGGCAGCUGCGUGGCAAAUGGGUUACAGGGAGAUAAAGAGUGAGCCGGUGUGGGGCUCUUGCGGGGUCUCAGGCUGGCGGUGCCCUGGGCGGGGCGGGAACCAGGAGGCUGGCGAGAAGUGCGCAGACCUAGUGGGGUUGGGGGUAGCGUGGCCAGACGAGACUUGGCGAGGCAGGAGGAAUAAUUCAGGCUGACUUGUUAUUUUGGCUCAAGCACUGGGUGGAUGCUGAUUGCUGAUUGCUAAGCUGGGGAAGGCCAGUUGGGGCGGGGGUGGGAAAAGUUAGAAUUCCGCGUGGACACUGAAAAUGGCCUGUUAGAUGUCUGUUCACCCCUUCACGGACAUUUAUUGAGUGCCUGCUUGGGCCAGGCACAGAGCAGGGUGCAGAGUGAGACAGAGCCUGUCACAGACCUGAGACACUGAGCACAGUUAACCAUUCGUGCUGAGUGCUGGGAAGUUUGGGGUGCAGAGAGACCGGGCAAGAAAGGAAAUGCAUCUGCCCACGUUCGUUGGGGUGCGGUUUGGGAGGACUUCCCGGAGGAAGGGACCUUUGAGCUGGUGUGGAUGUGACUGAGCUAGCCGAGUCGAGGAGUGGACCUGGGACCAUCCGGCCCGCAGAGUCCCAGCUUCUGAAGCCAGGUGCCCAGGACACGUGACAGGUGUAGACACAUGGCCAGAGAGGUGAGAGGAGAUGGGUCCUGCAGGAGGGGACUCUGUAGAGACAUCAGGGGCUGGGGACAGUCCAUAUGUCCACUGGCCUUGGUCAUAGGAGGUCACUGCCUGGGCCAGAGCGGCCCGGAGGCAGCAAUGUGGAAGAUGCUUCUCCCUUUCCCAGGACUGCCUUCUAUCCUGUCUUGCUGCCUACUUCUAGCUGGUUCGAUCCAAGACCUGUCUCUCUGUGACGGGUGCUGGGGACAGGGCCUGGAGCCGUAAGAGCGGCCUCGAGCUUGCCCUGCCUCCUGGGGACGUCGGGUGGCCUUGAAGCGGGGUGUGGGCCUGUCCUCAUGCUAGACCCGCAAGGGACGCAGAGGCACAGGGACCCAGCCCAUCGACACACCUGGCGUCUCCCUGGGCUGUCUCUGGUGCCAACCUCGUCCCAUGCUCAGGGCCUGGCGCAGAUGAGUUAGCAUAGCAGGCAGAGUGGGAGGCCCAGGGGGACCCCUGCUGGCUUCCCAGUCAUGCGGGUCUCGGGCCCCCUUUUCAGCUUUCUGCUGCAGCUUUCGACAGUGCCAAAUGGAGCAAAUGGGGUGCAAGCCUGCACCCCCAGGACACGUCCGGAUCCCAUUCGCAUUCUGAAACACCUGCCUCCGUGUUUUUGAGCCUGAGCAGAGGAAAUCGGGAAAAACGACUUGCUAGCUCGCUUCCAGUGACCCAGCUUUCUCCCCUUGUAAUUUAUGCACAGAGCCGUCAGCCUUGUACGUUGCCAGAUGAGGGUGUUAAAAUAUAAAACAGAGACCCAACCAGCCACCACCUCGUAGGUCACCAUGUCCUAUGCAGAGAGGCCAUUUGAAUGCCCCGGAUUCUGGAAGGAUGAGGUCUCGGAAUAACAGAAAGCCUUUUAAAGCGAGUCAGGCUGGCUUUGUGGAAAAGCUCCCGUGGUGAUUUUUCUCAUCCCUCGUUUUGUUGCAAUCCAGUGGAAAUUUUGUCAGGCCAGUGCAGGGUGGAGUUUGGAACGCCUGUGUUCGACUCCCCGAUUUUCCAGACGAGGAAGCCGAGGCCUGCUCUUGCUCCAGGCGGAAGGACGCUCGACUGUGGGGUUGUAACCAGACCCCAGGGCCUCGGCCUGUCGCACCACAGGCAACCUGGCUGUUCCAUCUGAGCUGCUCCCGGCUGACCGGGCAUUGCCCAGAGCCGCUGUGAUGUUUAUAGCCAGCAGAAGUUCAUUCUGGAAGUUUCCACUCGAGGAGCAGGGCAGAAAGAACCCCUCCAACUGCCAGCAUCUGUAGUUUUAGAAAGACCGUGUCCAUAUCUUUGCCACUCGACGAGACCGUCUGCUUCUGAGACCGUGAGCCUCAGAACAUGUGACAUGGCCUGGCAUCAGUCCGCGCCAUAAUCCGUGUGAAGGCUUCGUUCACCUGAGAAAUUUCCUUUUAGCUGCCCUCUCAGGUGACAAAUGGCAUCUGAUGCCUGUGAACCAGGCAGUCCCUAUCUUCCUGCUCACCAGUGACUUAAGGCAAGAGUGUCCCUUUCCUAAAGAGAGGUGACAGGUGGGGUGUCAGCCAUCUGAUCUGUGUCAGCCUCCGAGAGUGUACGAUUCCUAUAAAACAAUGUUCUCCCCAUAUGGGUGCGAUAACUAAUGUUUUUAUUUUAUUUUGGAGAUUCUGGUUUCUUCCAUGGUCAAGUUCUGAUUUAAUCUCUUUGCCUGGGCUAUCGCGUCCGUCUUCCCAGCCCAACGGGCGCUGUCAGCAGCCCCUGGCACGGAAGGUGAGAAGGGGGUGCGGUGAGGUUUAUUAGCAAGGUGGGGCCGUGCCCGGGCUGUUUGAACCCACCACGCUGCCUUCCCCUGCAGUGCGUGAGUCCGGGCUAGCGAGGUUUUGCAAAAGAGUUUAUUUUCCGUUUAUAUUUGGCAUUAUGCCUCAUGGACCUAAUCUACAGUCAGAUGAUAGAACCAGAGAUUUAAAUUGCCGGAUUGAAGCCUCUUCUCAGAAGAGAGGGAAACAAUCUGAGAGAGAAGAUUCCAGACCGGCCUGAGGCCCUGCUCCUAAGAGCACCCGCAGCCCAGUGACACCACUGAGCGACCGGUGGGCACGUGGUGGCUGUGGGUGGGCUGCGGUCACCUGAAGUAACAUCACAGAUGUUGGCAUCGCUCCCAGGGCUCAGGGAUGGAAGAGGCAGCGAUGGUCUCGUUUGCCCAGGUCACCAAGGGCCACUCCGAUGCAGCAGGUCUGGGCGUGGGACUUCUUUGGUCGUGUGCCCUCUGGAGGUGGUACUGCUGGGGGUCUGUCCAUAUAUGACCUGUGUCCAAGAGUGGGGCCGUCGCCUGGGAACCCCUCCCUCUUUCUCUGGUGCUGACACUGCUGAGUUCCUCCUGUGUGUGGCCAGGGGAAGUGGGGCCUCGGCACUCCGGUCUGCCCUGGGCUCUAGGAAUGAGCAGCCCCCUCUGCUAAGGGUUUGUCACACUCCAAGGUGACAGUCACUUGGCUCAGCUCUUCCCACCGAAGUCUGCGAGCAGCUGGGCCGACACUGAGAAGGCCUGGCUUCGGGGUAUGAAGGGAAGAGCAGACAGGGUGGGGGGCGUCUACUGACAUACCCAGGAGUGGAGGCAGGAGGGAAGUGUCUCCGUGAGCCUCAAGCAGUCCCCAGCUUUGGUGAAGGAGCGUAAAGCUCAGGACGCUGGCUUUCAGAUGACUGAGAGGUGCCCCCACGAUGCAGGGGCCAAAGCCAGGGCAAGUCUGAGCAUCAGGCUCCCUGGCAUCCUCGUCCGUCCCACCGUCCACUUCCGCCACCCGAGACUUGGGGAGGAGGUCCAUUCCCCUGGGGAUUUUUGUUUUUAACUUUUAAAUCAUCUUUUAUUUGGGUUGCAAAAUUUCUUUGUUACUUAACGUUUUAUGUGCUCUCUUUUGAAAUCUCAUAGCUUGACACGUAAAACACUAUCAACCACGACACUGCUUCACAGACCUUCUUAGACACAACUUGCCAAAUGAGCCCUGUCUGCUGGCUCCGGAUUAGUGCGUUAAAACCAUAUCCAUUGAAAAAGGCGAGUGAAUUAAUUGGCAGAACAUCCGAGUCCUUUCCUGAUGAAGGCAAACCCCCAGGCACGAGGCGGGGAGCCCAGCCCGGGGACCCCGCCCCACACUCCCUGGGCCACCGCGCCUCCCUUUCCGAACUGAUGUUAUUUCCGUCACCAGAGUAAGGCUCCUUUAUGACAAAGGGGACAAGUAUGAAGCCAGCACAGGCCACUCUUGCUGUUGCUCUCUCGUUGGGACGUGUCUCGGAGAUGUGUACGGGGCUGGGGCGGUCACGGGCUCGUCGGUUCCAGAGAGCCUGACCCUGUGUGGUCUCAAGGCAGCGCUCGGACGGAGGGGGGCGGCACCUCGUCUCUGCACGCAGGUUACUGACACAUCUCUUCUUGGAUGAGACGCGCUUCCGACCGGCUGCAGAUGGCACGUAGGUUGGCAUCUUGAGUCACGACACCAGAGUGCCACGCGGUGUCCCCUCUCUCCACCGGACCCAUCCUUUCCCUGCAGCUCAGUUUUUCUCUGAUGGGUGGGAGGCCACUAUCAAGGCCAAGAGAGUGGCAGGUCCAGUCUCAGACCCGAGCCCCCAGCAUGUCCCCGGCUCUUGCUGAAAUUCUGUCCAGCCCUCCGUUUUGUGGGGGUUCCAGCCAAGGGGGGGGUCCCUUGGGGAUCACUCCCUCUGAUCUUCUGCAAGUAGCCUCAGUAUUUCAAGGGUGGUCUUGGGGAUCAGGCCCCCAGUUAACUAAUAGGUGCUGAGCCUCACAGUGUCCUGGGCGUGGGUGGGCGCUGUAGGGGUGCAGAGAGGGGA